rnacentral:misc_RNA from 1 species
UUUUUUUUUUUUUUGCAAUUUUACUCUUGGUUGGAUUUACUUAUAUCCUGUGUAUUAUUGGGUGCAUAUGGCUUUUGUUGAACUAACUUUUGCAGUCAUCUUCUUUGUAGUGUUGAUGUAGCUUUAGAGUAGAAUUUGAAGUCUAAUAUUAUAAUCUUGUUUUUGUGAUUUCAUUGCACCUUACUACUAUUUUCAGCAGCGACAUUCUUUGUAUAAUUGAUGUUUCAUAAAAUUUUAGAUAUUUUUGUAUUCAAUAGUUAUAAUUUACAAGUUCAAAUAUUGUAAAAGAUUUAUGCAUAUUUUAAGAAUAAAUGUGAGCCUCACUCACAUCCUUGAGCAUACCCUCGCACCUAAUGCUUAGGCCCCAAGUAUGUUGUGGCUUUUGCACCUUGCAUCUUUGACAAUUCUUAUGCAUUUGAGAAUUAAUGCAAUAGCAUCCAAAAUACCCGAAUGUAUGGAAUCCUAAUUCAAUACAAACAUUACCCACUCAGGACAAGUACCCGCCUUAUUAGGGAUUCUGAAUCCCACUCUAAUUAUACUUCCACUGAGAUAAGAUUCUAUUAUGAUCACACUUCCAAUCUAAAUAGGAGUUUAUUCGAUGCCCAUAUAAAGGGCUCAAGACUCCACAGUCAAGUACGUUAUUCUGUCUAGUUAAUUCUAUAUUUUACUCAGUUCCAAUUACUGACUUAAGCAUCCAAGACCUAGUGUUCCCUCUUGUCUUGUAGAUUCAUACCCAUAGAAAAAAUCCAAAAACAUCAAUGGCAUCGUCUGUGGGAAACAACACAAAAAGUUAUCACUCCCUUUUUAUAUCCGCCAAAAAAUUCAAAGAAUUUCUAGAAGAUUUUUGCAAUAAAUCUCCAAAUGAUAUGUGCUUGUCAAAGGGUCAACAACUGCAAAGAACUCAAAGCAUCUAUCCACUUGUAAAGAGCCUAAGACAUAAGUUUUCCAUAAAAGGCAUCGCCAAGCCACCUAAGGCAUCAGUCCACCCAAAUACACAUCGGCAAGCCAUUCAAGACAUAAGUCCACCCAAAGAGGCAUCGAAAAGCCACUCUUUAAGGCGAUAAUACACCAACCAAAAUAUUUAGGCGAUGGUUCACCCAAUAAAACUCAAAAGGCCCUAUCACAUGGCCAAAACUCUGUCAUCUAACAACUGUCUAACACCAAACCUAAAGAUUCAUCCUAGAGGGAGACUAAUGGUGCAGUAGCAUCCAAAAUACUCGAAUGUAUGGAAUCCUAAUC